rnacentral:rRNA from 1 species
GUGGGGAAUCUUGCGCAAUGGGGGAAACCCUGACGCAGCGACGCCGCGUGAGCGAUGAAGGCCUUCGGGUUGUAAAGCUCUUUUAUUAGGGACGAAAUCCUGCAUGCGAAUAGUGUGCGGGGAUGACGGUACCUAAUGAAUAAGCCCCGGCUAACUACGUGCCAGCAGCCGCGGUAAGACGUAGGGGGCGAGCGUUGUCCGGAAUUACUGGGCGUAAAGAGCGUGUAGGCGGGCUGUUAAGUCAGAUGUGAAAGACCGCGGCUCAACUGCGGGGUGGCAUCUGAUACUGGCAGUCUUGAGGGCAGGAGAGGGAAGUGGAAUUCCUGGUGUAGCGGUGAAAUGCGUAGAUAUCAGGAGGAACACCAGUGGCGAAGGCGGCUUCCUGGACUGACCCUGACGCUGAGACGCGAAAGCGUGGGGAGCAAACAGGAUUAGAAACCCUAGUAGUCC